AUGAACGCUGGCGGCGUGCCUAAUACAUGCAAGUCGAGCGAACAGACGAGGAGCUUGCUCCUCUGACGUUAGCGGCGGACGGGUGAGUAACACGUGGAUAACCUACCUAUAAGACUGGGAUAACUUCGGGAAACCGGAGCUAAUACCGGAUAAUAUAUUGAACCGCAUGGUUCAAUAGUGAAAGACGGUUUUGCUGUCACUUAUAGAUGGAUCCGCGCCGCAUUAGCUAGUUGGUAAGGUAACGGCUUACCAAGGCGACGAUGCGUAGCCGACCUGAGAGGGUGAUCGGCCACACUGGAACUGAGACACGGUCCAGACUCCUACGGGAGGCAGCAGUAGGGAAUCUUCCGCAAUGGGCGAAAGCCUGACGGAGCAACGCCGCGUGAGUGAUGAAGGUCCUCGGAUCGUAAAACUCUGUUAUUAGGGAAGAACAAAUGUGUAAGUAACUAUGCACGUCUUGACGGUACCUAAUCAGAAAGCCACGGCUAACUACGUG
rnacentral:rRNA from 1 species